AAAAAAGGUAAGCUACUAAGAGCGAAUGGUGGAUGCCUUGACUGGUAAAGGCGAUGAAGGACGUACUAGACUGCGAUAAGCUACGGGGAGCUGUCAAGAAGCUUUGAUCCGUAGAUUUCCGAAUGGGGCAACCCAAUGUAUAGAGAUAUACAUUACCUAUAUAGGAGCGAACGAGGGGAAUUGAAACAUCUUAGUACCCUCAGGAAAAGAAAUCAAUAGAGAUUGCGUCAGUAGCGGCGAGCGAAAGCGCAAGAGGGCAAACCCAGUGCUUGCACUGGGGGUUGUAGGACUGCAAUGUGCAAGAGGUGAGUUUAGCAGAACAUUCUGGAAAGUAUAGCCAUAGAGGGUGAUAGUCCCGUAUGCGAAAAACAAACCUUAGCUAGCAGUAUCCUGAGUAGGGCGGGACACGAGGAAUCCUGUCUGAAUCCGGGUCGACCACGAUCCAACCCUAAAUACUAAUACCAGAUCGAUAGUGCACAAGUACCGUGAGGGAAAGGUGAAAAGAACUGAGGUGAUCAGAGUGAAAUAGAACCUGAAACCAUUUGCUUACAAUCAUUCAGAGCCCUAUGUAGCAAUACAGGGUGAUGGACUGCCUUUUGCAUAAUGAGCCUGCGAGUUGUGGUGUCUGGCAAGGUUAAGCAAACGCGAAGCCGUAGCGAAAGCGAGUCUGAAUAGGGCGCUUAGUCAGAUGCUGCAGACCCGAAACGAAGUGAUCUAUCCAUGAGCAAGUUGAAGCUAGUGUAAGAACUAGUGGAGGACUGAACCCAUAGGCGUUGAAAAGCCCCGGGAUGACUUGUGGAUAGGGGUGAAAGGCCAAUCAAACUUCGUGAUAGCUGGUUCUCUCCGAAAUAUAUUUAGGUAUAGCGUUGUGUCGUAAUAUAAGGGGGUAGAGCACUGAAUGGGCUAGGGCAUACACCAAUGUACCAAACCCUAUCAAACUCCGAAUACCUUAUAUGUAAUCACAGCAGUCAGGCGGCGAGUGAUAAAAUCCGUCGUCAAGAGGGAAACAACCCAGACUACCAGCUAAGGUCCCUAAAUCUUACUUAAGUGGAAAACGAUGUGAAGUUACUUAAACAACCAGGAGGUUGGCUUAGAAGCAGCCAUCCUUUAAAGAAAGCGUAAUAGCUCACUGGUCUAGUGAUUUUGCGCGGAAAAUAUAACGGGGCUAAAGUAAGUACCGAAGCUGUAGACUUGCGCACAACUUAGAUUAUUUAAGUUUAGAAUAUGAGAAACUAAGUUAUAUGUUUAGUUAUAUUUUUACUGAUUUUUAUAGAGUAAAGAUAGAAAUAAAACUUAGUAAAAUCAGUAAAAAUAUUCUUAGAUUAAAGUUAAGUAGUUUAAGUUGUGUGCAAGUGGUAGGAGAGCGUUCUAUUUGCGUCGAAGGUAUACCGGUAAGGAGUGCUGGAGCGAAUAGAAGUGAGCAUGCAGGCAUGAGUAGCGAUAAUUAAUGUGAGAAUCAUUAACGCCGUAAACCCAAGGUUUCCUACGCGAUGCUCGUCAUCGUAGGGUUAGUCGGGUCCUAAGUCGAGUCCGAAAGGGGUAGACGAUGGCAAAUUGGUUAAUAUUCCAAUACCAACAUUAGUGUGCGAUGGAAGGACGCUUAGGGCUAAGGGGGCUAGCGGAUGGAAGUGCUAGUCUAAGGUCGUAGGAGGUUAUACAGGCAAAUCCGUAUAACAAUACUCCGAGAACUGAAAGGCUUUUUGAAGUCUUCGGAUGGAUAGAAGAACCCCUGAUGCCGUCGAGCCAAGAAAAGUUUCUAAGUUUAGCUAAUGUUGCCCGUACCGUAAACCGACACAGGUGGGUGGGAUGAGUAUUCUAAGGCGCGUGGAAGAACUCUCUUUAAGGAACUCUGCAAAAUAGCACCGUAUCUUCGGUAUAAGGUGUGGUUCGCUUCGUAUUAGGAUUUACUCCGAAAGCGAAGAAACUUACAACAAAGAGUCCCUCCCGACUGUUUACCAAAAACACAGCACUCUGCUAACUCGUAAGAGGAUGUAUAGGGUGUGACGCCUGCCCGGUGCUCGAAGGUUAAUUGAUGGGGUUAGCAUUAGCGAAGCUCUUGAUCGAAGCCCGAGUAAACGGCGGCCGUAACUAUAACGGUCCUAAGGUAGCGAAAUUCCUUGUCGGUUAAAUACCGACCUGCAUGAAUGGCGUAACGAGAUGGGAGCUGUCUCAAAGAGGGAUCCAGUGAAAUUGUAGUGGAGGUGAAAAUUCC
rnacentral:rRNA from 1 species